GUGGAAAUGCGUUUUGAGAAAGAACGUGAUGAGCUUGGCAAUAAGGUUGAGUCACGAGCUCAGCGGGCAGAAUUGAACCGGAGGGUUCUUCUUAAAUGUAGGCAAUGGAAGGCUGCAAAAAGGGAACGAAUUUCACAGUUGCUAACAAGGAGGGUAAUGCAAGAGAGCAAAUACAGGGAGUGUGUUGGGGCUGCUAUUCAUCGGAAGCGGGCUGCUGCUGAAAAGAAGAGACUGGGAUUUCUGGAAGCAGAGAGAUCAAAGGCACGUGCAAGAAUAGUACAAGUUAAGCAGAUAGCAAACUCUGUAUAUCGUCAACGGGAGAUUGAGAGGAUAAGACUAAAAGAUCAACUGGAGAAUCGUCUCCAAAAGGCAAAGAGGCUCAGAGCAGAGUAUUUAAAGCAGAGGCGAAGUCUGCUAUGUUCACGUCGUUCUUGUUCAGACAUAAUUGCGUGGGGGGAGUUUUUGUCUUUUAACGUAGCAAGGUGCUGGAGGCGGUUCAUCCAACUAAGACGAACAACUUUUUCAUUGGCUAAAGCAUAUAUGACCCUAGAUAUUAACAAAAAGUCUGUUGAAGGAAUGCCUUUUGAGCAACUUGCAGUGAAGAUGGGGUCAAGUGCGACCAUCCAAAAUGCAAAAAAAUUACUUGAUCGACUAGAGUACCGCAUUAGUAUCAGACAUGAGCUUCUUGGUCCCAGAGAUGUACUUUGUUUUGAAAAUAUUAAUCAUCUUCUUGAGCGUGCCGCUUCCUCAGUCCCUGCUAGGGGGGAAGUGGCAGCUCCAGUCAAGUUAUCAAGGUACCCAGUCAGAGUAGUUCUCUGUACAUAUAUGAUUCUAGGACAUCCAGGUUCAGUUUUCACUGCAGAGGGGCAGUCUGAAUUCGCUCUUGCUGAAUCUGCUGGAGCCUUUGUUAAAGAGUUUGAAUUGCUGCUUAAAAUUAUUGUAGGAGGUUCCAUUAAAUCUACAGAAGAGGAGACCCCAGUGAGGCUGGCUUUUGGUUCUCAGCUCAAAGCUUUUGAUAAAGCAUGGUGCUCUUAUCUGUUUCACUUUGUGAUGUGGAAAGUUAAGGAUGUGAAGUUGUUAGAAGAGGAUUUAAUAAAUACUGCUUGUCAACUGGAGCUCUCUCUGAUGCAGACUUGCAAGCAGGUUAUGGGAGAUUACGAUGAUCUGACAGCCGAAUUCAGUUCUUUCCAGAGGCAGGUGAUUGAAAAUCAGAAACUUAUUUGGGCAAAGGUCAAGCAGCUGAGUGGUAAUGCUGGACUUGAACGUCUGGAGCAUGCUCUUUCUGAGCUGCGGUCUAGGUUUAUUGACUCCAUGGAGACUGAUUCUCCGAGUUCAGUUGGUUCAUCUGAUAACUCUGAAAUCAAGAAUUCAGAUGAGUUCAAUGAAAAUGCCAGGUGUUAUGGUACACAGGGCAUUGCUUGGCCCGUAUCUGUGGAAGAUGAUUCAUACUUGUGCGAUAAAUGUGGCUCUGGAACUCCUCAAAAAAGCAUAUCUACUGGUUUAUUACGUGCGACUGAGAAUGAAGUGCUUUUGAAUGAAAUUGUUCACAAGGGUUGUGGCUUGGAGAUCGUUAGUGAAGAAAAAGAGAGUGAUAAGGCUAGAGUGAAAGAGAGAAUGGAAGAGGCUUUCUGGGAUGGUGUUAUGCAAUCCUUGAGUCAGGAUAACCCUGAUUUCAGUUGGGUUCUCAAGCUUAUGAAGGAAGUACAAAAUGAACUGUGUGAGAUGUCUCCUCCAAGUUGGAGACAGGAGAUAGUCGAAACCGUUGAUAUUAAUAUCCUAUCACAGGUUCUAAACUCAGGGACAUUGGACAUGGAUUAUUUUGGAAGGAUUUUGGAAUUUGCUUUGGUUACUUUGAGG
rnacentral:misc_RNA from 1 species